GAUAAGAACGUAGCGAAAUGCGAUACGUAAUGUGAAUUGCAGAUUUCAGUGAAUCAUCGAAUCUUUGAACGCACAUUGCGCCCGCUAGUAUUCUGGCGGGCAUGCCUGUUCGAGCGUCAUUUCAACCAUCAAGCCCCCGGCUUGCGUUGGAGCCCUGCGGCUGCCGCAGGCUCCCAAAUCUAGUGGCGGGCUCGUCGUCGUACCGAGUGCAGUAAACAUCCUCGCUCAGGGAACGCGUCGGGUUCUUGCCGUGAAACCCCCCCAUAUCAAGGUUGACCUCGGAUCAGGUAGGAAUACCCGCUGAACUUAAGCAUAUCAAUAAGCGGAGGA
rnacentral:misc_RNA from 1 species